CAAAGAGGUGAUAGACAUGGAGCUGA
rnacentral:piRNA from 1 species